rnacentral:rRNA from 1 species
AUAUUGGACAAUGGGCGCAAGCCUGAUCCAGCCAUGCCGCGUGAGUGAUGAAGGCCUUAGGGUUGUAAAGCUCUUUCAGUAGGGAAGAUAAUGACUGUACCUACAGAAGAAGCCCCGGCUAACUUCGUGCCAGCAGCCGCGGUAAUACGAAGGGGGCUAGCGUUGUUCGGAUUUACUGGGCGUAAAGCGCACGUAGGCGGAUUGGUCAGUUAGGGGUGAAAUCCCGGAGCUCAACUCCGGAACUGCCUUUAAUACUGCCAAUCUAGAGACCGAGAGAGGUAAGUGGAACUCCUAGUGUAGAGGUGGAAUUCGUAGAUAUUAGGAAGAACACCAGUGGCGAAGGCGGCUUACUGGCUCGGAACUGACGCUGAGGUGCGAAAGCGUGGGGAGCAAACAGG